UAUUUUAUUGCGUCAUAUUUAGAACAACUUAUUUUUCACGAUAAGCACCUUCCCUCGUUAACAAAUUGGAAAGUACUUGUGAUUUUCGGUAAAAAAAGGGGUUGAUCAUGAAAAUGCGUGGAAAAAUAGUGGAAACAUUGAUUUUUUCGAUUUUUUACUAUUUUAUUGCGUCAUAUUUAAAAUAACAUAUUUUUCAUGAUAGGCACCUUCCCACGUUAACAAAUUGGAAAGUACUCGUGAUUUUCGGUAAAAAAAGGGGUUGAUCGUGAAAAUACGUGGAAAAAUAGUGGAAUCAUCGGUUCCUAUUGAUUUCUACAGUUAUAUCGCGUCAGCUGCAUAACGCGAUACGUUUUGUCAUGUGCUACGUGUUUCGCUAGAAAAUUUUGGAGUACUGGAGAUUACCAACAAAAAUAAAUGUUAACAGGCACAACAUAUUGUCGGACUACAUAUAUUAAUAGAGAAAUUACUACCAAAAAAUGAUGGAGUAUAAAAGUUGAAUAGAUACAUUGAAGAUACUUUCCAGCGUAGAAUGAAAUACUAGGACAAAUGACAAAAACGUACUCUGCAAACAGAUGCAAUUACUUUCUUGCAUGAUACAUCUGGAAAUAUGUUUAAGUAUUUAUUCAGACAUUCAUGAGGAAAUUACAA